rnacentral:rRNA from 1 species
CGGGGAAUAUUGGACAAUGGGGGCAACCCUGAUCCAGCCAUGCCGCGUGAAUGAUGAAGGCCUUCGGGUUGUAAAGUUCUUUUGGUAGGGACGAUGAUGACGGUACCUACAGAAUAAGCUCCGGCUAACUUCGUGCCAGCAGCCGCGGUAAUACGAAGGGAGCUAGCGUUGUUCGGAAUUACUGGGCGUAAAGGGCGCGUAGGCGGUUCGACAAGACAGAUGUGAAAGCCCUGGGCUCAACCCGGGAACUGCGUUUGUGACUGUCGUACUUGAAUUCGGGAGAGGUUGGUGGAAUUCCCAGUGUAGAGGUGAAAUUCGUAGAUAUUGGGAAGAACACCCGUGGCGAAGGCGGCCAACUGGACCGACAUUGACGCUGAGGCGCGAAAGCGUGGGGAGCAAACA